rnacentral:misc_RNA from 1 species
GAUGAAGAACGUAGCGAAAUGCGAUACGUAAUGUGAAUUGCAAAUUCAGUGAAUCAUCGAAUCUUUGAACGCACAUUGCGCCCGCCAGCAUUCUGGCGGGCAUGCCUGUUCGAGCGUCAUUUCAACCCUCGAGCCCCCCCCGGGGGCCUCGGUGUUGGGGGACGGCACACCAGCCGCCCCCGAAAUGCAGUGGCGACCCCGCCGCAGCCUCCCCUGCGUAGUAGCACACACCUCGCACCGGAGCGCGGAGGCGGUCACGCCGUAAAACGCCCAACUUUCUUAGAGUUGACCUCGGAUCAGGUAGGAAUACCCGCUGAACUUAAGCAUAUCAAUAAGCGGAGGA